GGGGAAUAUUGCACAAUGGGGGAAACCCUGAUGCAGCGACGCCGCGUGAGCGAAGAAGUAUUUCGGUAUGUAAAGCUCUAUCAGCAGGGAAGAAGAAAUGACGGUACCUGACUAAGAAGCACCGGCUAAAUACGUGCCAGCAGCCGCGGUAAUACGUAUGGUGCAAGCGUUAUCCGGAUUUACUGGGUGUAAAGGGAGCGCAGGCGGGAAGACAAGUUGGAAGUGAAAUCUAUGGGCUCAACCCAUAAACUGCUUUCAAAACUGUUUUUCUUGAGUAGUGCAGAGGUAGGCGGAAUGUAUGGUGUAGCGGUGAAAUGCUUAGAUAUUAGGAGGAACAUCAGUGGCGAAGGCGGCUUACUGGGCUUUAACUGACGCUGAGGCUCGAAAGUGUGGGUAGCAAACAGGAUUAGAUACCCUGGUAGUCCACACCGUAAACGAUGAUUACUAGGUGUUGGAGGAUUGACCCCUUCAGUGCCGCAGUUAACACAAUAAGUAAUCCACCUGGGGAGUACGACCGCAAGGUUGAAACUCAAAGGAAUUGACGGGGGCCCGCACAAGCAGUGGAGUAUGUGGUUUAAUUCGACGCAACGCGAAGAACCUUACCAAGUCUUGACAUCCCUUGACAGGCAUAGAAAUAUGUUUUCUCUUCGGAGCAAGGAGACAGGUGGUGCAUGGUUGUCGUCAGCUCGUGUCGUGAGAUGUUGGGUUAAGUCCCGCAACGAGCGCAACCCUUAUGGUCAGUUACUACGCAAGAGGACUCUGGCCAGACUGCCGUUGACAAAACGGAGGAAGGUGGGGAUGACGUCAAAUCAUCAUGCCCUUUAUGACUUGGGCUACACACGUACUACAAUGGCGUUAAACAAAGAGAAGCAAGACCGCGAGGUGGAGCAAAACUCAGAAACAACGUCCCAGUUCGGACUGCAGGCUGCAACUCGCCUGCACGAAGUCGGAAUUGCUAGUAAUCGUGGAUCAGCAUGCCACGGUGAAUACGUUCCCG
rnacentral:rRNA from 1 species